AGCCACUGCACAGCUGCUGUGGAGGUGGCCAGAGCCCUUGGGAAAUUGGGGUUAUCCCUCUCCAUGGCCAAGGAAUUACUGGACCCAUUGAGGGCAGCCUUGUGCUGGAACAGGACAAAGUCCUAGGGGUGGCUUUGUGCUCCAGUGAAGAGAGAAAAAGAUGUUAUUCAUCUUGAGCCAAGGAGCAGCUGAAGGACUUGCAGCUGAGGCAGUGGCUGCAGCAGCAGGAAUUGUGCCUGGAGCUGGGAAUGCUGAGGGAGAAAACCAGCAAAACCCACCGUGGCCUCCCCCAAAGUGGCAAUUUCCUCUUGCAGGAGCAUUUCAGCAACCAGACCUUGUGUCAAGGAGUUCCAGCAGUGACCAACACAAAACAGAUACAGAGCACAGGGAGCAGGGCCAGCAAGGGUGGAGCAGGAUGGCAGCUCCUUGGCUUGCUCCUAAUCCUGGACAAAAACUAUUUGGAGUCAUAACUGUGUUAAAAACCCCCAUGUUUUAAUGAUUUGCAAAACUUGGCCUGUGCGAAUUCCUGCACCUCUCCAGUGUGGUGGUCGGGGCAACCACAAGUGAAAAAACCUGUCCUCAACCCACAUAUUUCCAUUUAGUUUUGUUUCCCUUGAGAUUCAGGCCCUCUUGGCCCAUACCUGAUAAUAAAAGCCUCAGUUUUGCCCUGCCUGUGCCCCCC
rnacentral:lncRNA from 1 species